GUCGCUGACAAUGGCUUCCGAUAAGUGAAAGGUAAAUUGUUACAAUGCAGAAUAGACCAUUUUCAGUACAUCUUGUCCUAAUGAAGGUUUAAGAUCUCAUUAAUAUGUAUAAACUAGUUACGUUCCUUGUUAUAUUAUUGACUGUUAUUGAGCUAAUGGACUGCCUUCGCUGCUCUAGUUUGGGUCAAAAAUGUGGUCAAGCGUUUUCACGCACUGUGUUCUGUUGCUCGAGAUAUUAUUGCAGUUUAAAACCCUACGAGAAGACCGGAGUGUGCCUAUGGCGGUAGGUAAAAAAAAACAGCGGCCACUCUACUGUUCAUUACACUACAGAAUUAAUUAACUUAACCUAUUCUAAAAUGUAAGAACAUUAAAAUAUUAUUUAUAAGCCAAA